AAGACUAUACUUCCAGGGAUCAUUUCUAUAGUAUGUGACUAGAGAAGUUUCUCUGAUCGUGUAGAAGCCACCCGAAGCCACUGUGAGUCAUAGCGUCCUCUCCUGAGCGUGAGGCCAGCUCUAAGUGUUGCUUCUGUGACUGCCUUUGGCCAUUGGUGAUUGUUCUUCCCUUCCUUUUGAAGGGGUAGAGGGAGAGGAUGAAAAAAAAAAAGA